rnacentral:rRNA from 1 species
CCUACGGGUGGCAGCAGUAGGGAAUCUUCCACAAUGGGCGAAAGCCUGAAGGAGCAACGCCGCGUGGGUGAAGACGGCCCUCGGAUCGUAAAACCCUGUUUUUAGAGAAGUAAGUGCGUGAGAGUAUCUGUUCACGUUUGUACGGUAUCUAACCAGAACGCCACGGCUAACUACGUGCCAGCAGACGCGGUAAUACGUAGGUGGCAAGCGUUAUCUGGUUUUAUUGGGCGUAAAGGGAACGCAGGCGGUCUUUUAAGUCUGAUGUGAAAGCCUUCGGCUUAACCGGAGUAGUGCAUUGGAAACUGGCAGACUUGAGUGCAGAAGAGGAGAGUGGAACUCCAUGUGUAGCGGUGAAAUGCGGAGAUAUAUGGAAGAACACCAGUGGCGAAGGCGGCUCUCUGGUCUGUAACUGACGCUGAGGUUCGAAAGCGUGGGUAGCAAACAGGAUUAGAUACCCUUGUAGUC